AUGGGGCCCGCAAUCCUCUGCCUGGCGGCCCUGUGUGUCCUGGGAGCAGGCUCCGUGGACACUGAGGUCACCCAGACUCCAGGACAGCUGGUCAGAGGGACAAAGCAGAAAGCAAGGAUGGAGUGUGUCCCCAUCAAAGGACACAGUUAUGUUUAUUGGUAUCAUCAGAAGCUGGGAGAAGAGCUCAAGUUUAUGAUUUAUUUUGUGAAUGAAGAAGCCAGUGAUAAAUCAGGAAUGCCCAGUGAGCGGUUUUCAGCUCAGUGUCUCAAGAACUCACGGUGUAGCAUGGAGAUCGAGCCCACGGAGCUGGAGGACUCAGCCGUGUAUUUCUGUGCCAGCAGACCAAACAACACGGGUCAUGUUCACACUAAAACCAUGAAGAAGGUGGCCCGGGUGAUCAAUGAGAAAUAUUACAUGCACUUGGGAAAUGACUUCCACACAAACAAACACGUGUGCAAGGAGAUCACCAUUAUUCCCAGCAAGAACUCCGGGACAAGAUAG